rnacentral:rRNA from 1 species
GCGUGAGUGAUGAAGGCCUUAGGGUUGUAAAGCUCUUUCGGCGGGGACGAUGAUGACGGUACCCGCAGAAGAAGCCCCGGCUAACUUCGUGCCAGCAGCCGCGGUAAUACGAAGGGGGCGAGCGUUGUUCGGAUUUACUGGGCGUAAAGGGCGCGUAGGCGGCUCUUCAAGUCAGGCGUGAAAGCCCCGGGCUCAACCUGGGAAUGGCGCUUGGGACUGGAGGGCUCGAGUUCGGGAGAGGAGAGUGGAAUUCCCAGUGUAGAGGUGAAAUUCGU